CCGGCGACCGGCGGACGGGUGCGUAACGCGUAUGUAACCUACCUUUGGACAGGGGGAUAACAUCGAGAAAUUGGUACUAAUACCCCAUAACGAUCACCGGAGGCAUCUUCGGUGGUUGAAAACUCAGGUGGUCAGAGAUGGACAUGCGUUGUAUUAGCUAGUUGGUGAGGUAACGGCUCACCAAGGCGACGAUACAUAGGGGGACUGAGAGGUCAACCCCCCACAUUGGUACUGAGACACGGACCAAACUCCUACGGGAGGCAGCAG
rnacentral:rRNA from 1 species